rnacentral:ncRNA from 1 species
AUGUAUUCAGUUCGUUUAAGAUAAGUUGGCAAUAAAAAAAGUGGUAAAAACAUCCACAAUGGUGGGCUUUUUUGUUGUGUUUAUUUUGCGGAUUGGCAUGGAUAUGGACUAGACAUAGCUGUUUUAAGGUUAUAUAUUUUUUCCUAUAUGUCUUUUUUGCGUUGUUAUGCAGACUAAAGUUCCUUUGUGGAUUUAUGAUCUGCAUUUUUUAU